GACAGCAGUAGCCGCGGGAAUACGUAGGUGGCAAGCGUUGUCCGGAAUUAUUGGGCGUAAAGCGCGCGCAGGUGGUUUAAUAAGUCUGAUGUGAAAGCCCCCGGCUCAACCGGGGAGGGUCAUUGGAAACUGGGAAACUUGAGUGCAGAAGAGGAGAGUGGAAUUCCACGUGUAGCGGUGAAAUGCGUAGAGAUGUGGAGGAACACCAGUGGCGAAGGCGACUCUCUGGUCUGUAACUGACGCUGAGGAGCGAAAGCGUGGGGAGCGAACAGGAUUAGAUACCCCCGUAGUCCCUGUCUCUUAUAC
rnacentral:rRNA from 1 species